CCAAAAACCUCCUAAAUCUCAUUUUCGAUAACUUAUUAUCAUUUUCGACCAAAUGAUGUUGGUAAAAGAGUUCUCAUUGUCACAUCGGACAAGAACAUAUAUGCUGUAAAUUAACAAUUGUGAUUGCUUUCCAUUAGUCCUUUCUCCCAAAAGGACAAGGAAUGUGACUGUACUUAGUCACGGCUUCGGCAAUACUUUCUUCCUAAUGCUCCAACCAUUUCAGACCAGCAGAGUGUACUAAUUUUUGGUCAUUUGUAUCUUCCUGCUCUGCAUCUGCGCUUGGAGCUUGAGCUUUGUCUCAAACAAACCUUUCGCAUAUUUGAUCUUGAGGAAAUGGUCAUCAAAAUGGCUCAUCGUACUUGAAACGUGCUGGAAGUCUAUUUCUAUGCUAUAAACACCAAUGCUCAAGCACUACUUCAGUCUGCUGCUAAGAAACUACUUCAAAUUGGAGAGCUUUUCACACGUGGACUCGCACUGGUACUCUCACUUUAAUUUGAGUUUCUAAGAUUUUAUUUUAAAGCUCCCACUCUACCCUUUCUGAAGCAAGGAAUAGCCUAUGUGAUUGAAUAACUAUGGUGGUGAAUGGUGAUUAAGUAGCACCACAAAAUCAACAUCUGCUUGCUUGUGUGGUGUUGCUACUUAUUUUGUUACACUGUUUUUUUUUAUUUUGUCCUCUGAUUCAAUCGCUUAAUAGUGGUGGGAAUCUACUCUUGGGAGAACAAGCUGUGGAGGAAUCAAAGGAAGCGACUGUUGGAGGUGCAUUGAGUUCAACUUUAGUGGUUUGCCUCCUCUCUCCUAUGUUAUGGAUGGUGAUACGUCCUGGACAUUUAUUUCUAUUCA